rnacentral:tRNA from 1 species
GCCGAGAUAGUCUAGCGGUAGGGCGCAAGCCUGGAAAGCUUGUGGGGCGUCCGCCCCUCGGGAGUUCGAAUCUCCCUCUCGGCG